GUCAUUUGUACCUUCAAGCUCUGCUUGGCGAUGGGUGUUUGUCCCGCUCUACGUGUGGACUCGCCUCAAAUGAAUUGGCAGCCGGCAAUCUGGUGUUGGAGCGCAGCACAUUUUGCGCUCUCCGCCCGGUAUUGCGGCGUCCAUGAAGCUACAUUUUCACGCUUGACCUCGGAUCAGGUAGGGAUACCCGCUGAACUUAA
rnacentral:misc_RNA from 1 species